UACGGGGGGGGCAAGCGUUGUUCGGAAUUACUGGGCGUAAAGGGCUCGUAGGCGGCCAACUAAGUCAUACGUGAAAUCCCUCGGCUUAACCGGGGAACUGCGUCUGAUACUGGAUGGCUUGAGUUCGGGAGAGGGAUGCGGAAUUCCAGGUGUAGCGGUGAAAUGCGUAGAUAUCUGGAGGAACACCGGUGGCGAAGGCGGCCCCCUGGACCGGUACUGACGCUGAGGCGCGAAAGCGUGGGUAGCAAACGGG
rnacentral:rRNA from 1 species